rnacentral:rRNA from 2 species
GAGUCUGAUGGAGCACGCCGCGUGAGUGAAGAAGGGUUUCGGCUCGUAAAACUCUGUUGUUAAAGAAGAACAUAUCUGAGAGUAACUGUUCAGGUAUUGACGGUAUUUAACCAGAAAGCCACGGCUAACUACGUGCCAGCAGCCGCGGUAAUACGUAGGUGGCAAGCGUUGUCCGGAUUUAUUGGGCGUAAAGCGAGCGCAGGCGGUUUUUUAAGUCUGAUGUGAAAGCCUUCGGCUCAACCGAAGAAGUGCAUCGGAAACUGGGAAACUUGAGUGCAGAAGAGGACAGUGGAACUCCAUGUGUAGCGGUGAAAUGCGUAGAUAUAUGGAAGAACACCAGUGGCGAAGGCGGCUGUCUGGUCUGUAACUGACGCUGAGGCUCGAAAGUAUGGGUAGCAAACAGGAUUAGAUACCCUGGUAGUCCAUACCGUAAACGAUGAAUGCUAAGUGUUGGAGGGUUUCCGCCCUUCAGUGCUGCAGCUAACGCAUUAAGCAUUCCGCCUGGGGAGUACGGCCGCAAGGCUGAAACUCAAAGGAAUUGACGGGGGCCCGCACAAGCGGUGGAGCAUGUGGUUUAAUUCGAAGCUACGCGAAGAACCUUACCAGGUCUUGACAUACUAUGCAAAUCUAAGAGAUUAGACGUUCCCUUCGGGGACAUGGAUACAGGUGGUGCAUGGUUGUCGUCAGCUCGUGUCGUGAGAUGUUGGGUUAAGUCCCGCAACGAGCGCAACCCUUAUUAUCAGUUGCCAGCAUUAAGUUGGGCACUCUGGUGAGACUGCCGGUGACAAACCGGAGGAAGGUGGGGAUGACGUCAAAUCAUCAUGCCCCUUAUGACCUGGGCUACACACGUGCUACAAUGGAUGGUACAACGAGUUGCGAACUCGCGAGAGUAAGCUAAUCUCUUAAGCCAUUCUCAGUUCGGAUUGUAGG